rnacentral:rRNA from 1 species
GACGAACGCUGGCGGCGUGCUUAACACAUGCAAGUCGAACGGAAACGCCCUGCUUUUGUGGGGUGCUCGAGUGGCGAACGGGUGAGUAACACGUGAGUAACCUGCUCUUGUCUUUGGGAUAACUUCAGGAAACUGGGGCUAAUACCGUAUAGGAGCUCCUGUUGCAUGGUGGGCGUUGGAUAUUUUCGGCGGUCGGGGUUGGAUGGGCGGCUUAUCAGCUUGUUGGUGGGGUAGUGGCUGACCAAGGCUGUGACGGGUAGCCGGCAUGAGAGGGUGAACGGGGACAAUAGGACUGAGAUACGGAGCAGACUCGUACAGGAGGCAGCAGUGGGGAAUAUUGCACAAUGGGAGGAAGCCUGAUGCAGAAACGCCGCGUGCGGGAUGACGGCCUUCGGGUUGUAAACAGCUUUCGCCUGUGACGAAGCGGGAGUGACGGUAAUGGAUGAAGAAGCACCGGCUAACUACGUG